GGGUAUUGAGAGUAACUGGACAGUGUGGGCCUUGGGGCUUGGACAGUGUGGGCCUCUUCGUCUCUCUAUGGCAACCCAUUGAUCCCGUUGCCUUCCACACACCACCGCCAUUUCGAUCCCUUCGAGCGAGCUUCGACCUCCAAACUCCAAUGCACCGCCGGCUCCGAAGACCCGAUUCAUAGGAUCCGACCCCAUCUAAAUCCCAGCUGCAAACAAGGACCCCGAUUCCUCGCCUGUGUCUCCAGACAAGGAACUCAGCUGCUUUGAGCUGCAAUUAAAGGGAUGAUGAGGUACCAACCACCACCACAGCUGUUGUAUUUUCAAUGAGUAAUUCGUAGUCCCUGUCUCGAAGAACCAGGUUGUUAAAAGGUGACAAUUUGGUAUUCAAGGAGAUGGAUCAUAUAGGACAGGUUCUAUUGAUGGAGAGGUUCGUCUUUUGAUGGCCCUGAUGAGGAGAAGGGCACUCUGGAACUAAAUGACGAAGCUACACCUCAGAUGGGCAUAGGGUCAACGGUGAUCUGAUUUUGGGAAGCAU